rnacentral:rRNA from 1 species
CAGUCGCCGCGGUAAUACGAAGGGUGCAAGCGUUACUCGGAAUUACUGGGCGUAAAGCGUGCGUAGGUGGUGGUUUAAGUCCGUUGUGAAAGCCCUGGGCUCAACCUGGGAAUUGCAGUGGAUACUGGGUCACUAGAGUGUGGUAGAGGAUAGUGGAAUUUUCGGUGUAGCAGUGAAAUGCGUAGAGAUCGGAAGGAACAUCUGUGGCGAAGGCGACUAUCUGGGCCAACACUGACACUGAGGCACGAAAGCGUGGGGAGCAAACAGGAUUAGAUACCCGAGUAGUCCCUGUCUCUUAUAC